CUGGGAUCUGCCUGGGAAUCUGAUUGGUCCGUACAGGAUUGUCAUAGGGCUGUUUGCGAAAUCCAAAGUAGUACCCCAGGUAGACCAAGGGCAAUGAGAUCCCGAACCACAUACAGAGCAAGGCCACCAUGGUAGGGAAAGGCACCGCUCCAGAGGAGUGUUCUCCCCAGAUGAAACAGUUCAGGACAAAGCAGAUACCAAAGACGACACCCG
rnacentral:lncRNA from 1 species